CAAAAAAAACCCCAAUGACCUCAGUUGCGGCACUAUGGGAGCUAUGUUAGCAGGGGUCAUGGAGACAUUUUCAGCCAAGGAAGCAACCUUCCCAUUCAUUUUAAGUGAUUUGUAUGGGGGCUUCCAAACACCAAAGAUUUCCCACUGUGUCGUACUUCCUCAACACAAGUCACUGAAAUUAAUUGCCUGCUAGCAAAGCUGGGGCAGAGUCCUCUGCUGCUGUCUUGCUGUGUCUGGAUCAGUCACUGAUAUAAGACUUGCUGAUUCUGGAAGCAUCCAUACAGCAGAAACAGUGGUGAUAUGGCGUGGCGAAAAACUAACAUAACCAGAAGUGAUUGAAGCCUAACCUUGGACUGUUCUAGGUCAUGAGCCAAUAAGUCUCCUAUUUGCACUUGGGGUUAAAGGGUUUGGACUUUCCAUUGUUUGCAAUGAGGAGGCAAUUAGUCAAAGGGUAAUUGGCAGAAGAUGAAAAGGAGGAGGUUCUUGCUUAUCUGCCUUCUCUUGCUCCUAUGUUGGUUAAUAAGCGAGAGAAUGAUGCUCAGUCUGUUCUCAAUAUUACCAGUUGGAGAGGAAGAGGACCCCCAUAGGCUAAAGCAGAGAACAGAAGCAGGAAAGGAGAUGGAGACACUUCGAUUCAGAGUGCCAUCACCUCAAAAUGCACGCACAGAAGACCGGAAAGCAAGUCCUUGGUUGUGCUUUGCCAUCUUGGGGUAACCUGUGGUCCCGCUGGUGAAGAAGAUGACCAUGGGGUCCUUCAUCUUUGACUUAACACAGAAAUGGUCUCAAGGUGUAGCUCUGGCUGUCCUGGAACUUGUUUUGUAGACUAGUCCUACUGUGAACUCGCGGAGAUCCACGUGUCCCUGCUUCCCGAGUGCUCGGAUUAAAGUUGUACAUUACCACACCGCUCAAGUUGCUUUGAAGCUUCCCAUUUCACCUCGAAAACUCAUUUUCAUAAAACUUCUUCAUAUAUGCAUCUUAUAUGUAAAAAGGUUCUUUGUCUACAUGGA
rnacentral:sRNA from 1 species